GAACGAACCGGUCCAGACUCCUACGGGAGGCAGCAGUGAGGAAUUUUGCGCAAUGGGGGAAACCCUGACGCAGCAACGCCGCGUGAGUGAAGAAGGCCCUCGGGUCGUAAAGCUCUGUCAAGUUGGAAAAAAGCCUUUUGAUUAAUAGUCAAAAGGACUGAUGGUACAACUAGAGGAAGCACCGGCUAACUCCGUGCCAGCAGCCGCGGUAAUACGGAGGGUGCAAGCGUUGUUCGGAAUUACUGGGCGUAAAGAGCGUGUAGGCGGUAUGGUAAGUCAGAUGUGAAAGCCCUGGGCUCAACCCAGGAAGAGCAUUUGAUACUGCCAUUCUUGAGUAUGGGAGAGGAGAGUGGAAUUCCCAGUGUAGAGGUGAAAUUCGUAGAUAUUGGGAGGAACACCCGUGGCGAAGGCGACUCUCUGGACCAAUACUGACGCUGAGACGCGAAAGCGUGGGGAGCAAACAGGAUUAGAUACCCUGGUAGUCCACGCCGUAAACGAUGAGAACUAGGUGUAGCGGGUAUUGACCCCUACUGUGCCGAAGUUAACGCAUUAAGUUCUCCGCCUGGGGAGUACGGCCGCAAGGCUAAAACUCAAAGGAAUUGACGGGGACCCGCACAAGCGGUGGAGCAUGUGGUUUAAUUCGACGCAACGCGAAGAACCUUACCUGGAUUUGACAUCCUCUGACAACCCCGGAAACGGGGCCUUCCCUGCUUGCAGGGACAGAGUGACAGGUGCUGCAUGGCUGUCGUCAGCUCGUGUCGUGAGAUGUUGGGUUAAGUCCCGCAACGAGCGCAACCCUUGUUUCUAGCUGCCAGUAUUAAGUUAGGCACUCUAGAGAUACUGCCUCGGUUAACGGGGAGGAAGGUGGGGAUGACGUCAAGUCCUCAUGGCCUUUAUAUCCAGGGCUACACACGUGCUACAAUGGGCUGUUACAAAGAGCUGCUACUUCGCGAGAAGGCCCUAAUCUCAAAASACAGUUCUCAGUUCCGAUUGGAGUCUGCAACUCGACUCCAUGAAAUUGGGAAUCCCUAGUAAUC
rnacentral:rRNA from 1 species